GUUUAAUUUUUCAAUUUGUAUUAUUUUUUGAAAGUUUGGAAGUUCAAGAAUAGUUCGAAUAUGAUUCAAGUUCAAGUUCGAAAAGUUUGAGCAAAAAUAGUAAAUACUAGUAAGUACCUACCUACCUAGUUGAAGUUCGAACAAAUUUACAAUUACACUUAAAUCUUUGUAAUUUUAAGUAUGUGUACGUCAUGCAUGUCACCUAAUUAGUAAUUUACUAGGUAUAUGGAAAACCUGUCAAGAAAUUUGUUUAAAAUUCAUAAUCCCUUCAUCCUGAAAAUGAAUCUUGGUUGCGCAACUGGCUUAAGUAAUACCUAAUAUAUUAUUAUAAAUCUAGAUGAAUGGGGGCAUCAUAAAUAUAAUUGCAUUAUAACUGCAGUAUACUAAUACCCGUACUCAAAUAAAAUAAGAAAACAGAAAAAAAACACAAAAAAAUAAAAAAAAUUGCGGCCUUUACCUUUUUUACAAUGUUAUUAGAUUUGCUAUACCUACCCUAACAGUACAAAACAUUUCAUAGGAACUCCUGAGGACUCCUUUUUGGGAGUUGAAUGACUCCUAUAGACUUCCCAAUUGUCCUCUCUUGAGGGACUCCAAAGUUAAAUCUAGCACUCAAUGGUGUAAACUCAAGGUUGGAUAUUUUAAGGACUCCUUAUUGUAUUCAAAUUGUGUUUCCAGUGGAAUGAUAUUGAGGAAUAGAUGAUUUAGAUAUUAGUACUUCAAACAAAUUAUUUUUAAGAAUUUAUUACUCUUUUAAUGUAAUUAACUUAUCUUAAAAUAAUGUUCAUCAAUUACUAGUACUAACUUUUAAACCUAUCGAUAGAUAAGAAGAUAAAG